CUACGGGGGGCUGCAGUGAGGAAUUUUGCGCAAUGGGGGCAACCCUGACGCAGCAACGCCGCGUGAGUGAAGAAGGCCCUUGGGUCGUAAAGCUCUGUCAAUGGGGAAGAAGUUACUUGGUAUUAAUAGUGCCUUGUAUUGACGGUACCCAUGAAGGAAGCACCGGCUAACUCCGUGCCAGCAGCCGCGGUAAUACGGGGGGUGCAAGCGUUAUUCGGAAUUAUUGGGCGUAAAGGGCACGCAGGCGGUCCUGUCAGUCAGAUGUUAAAGCCCGGGGCUCAACCCCGGACGUGCAUUUGAAACAGCAGGACUUGAGUACGGGAGAGGAAAGGGGAAUUCCUGGUGUAGAGGUGAAAUUCGUAGAUAUCAGGAGGAACACCGGUGGCGAAGGCGCCUUUCUGGACCGAUACUGACGCUGAGGUGCGAAGGCGUGGGUAGCGAACGGGAUUAGAUACCCUGGUAGUC
rnacentral:rRNA from 1 species